CAGUAGUGUUAACAGUCGGGAGCGGAGUGGCAUUAACACCAUCCUUCAUGAACUUAAUCCACUGUUCACCAUAAACGUGACGAUGAGGGACAUAAAAAGUAAAAAUGUCUACAGUAGAGUCAAUAGCAAGGCCACGACGCAAUGGAGAAAGACGGAGAGCGCCAACGGCGUCCAUCUCGAAGGAGUCGCCAGCGAUAACCGGAGUAGUUGAAA
rnacentral:rRNA from 1 species